UCCCUGGAGGACUAGUGAUUAGGCCACAGUGCCCUCACCGCUACGGCCUGGGUUCGAUUCCCGCCAGGAAA
rnacentral:tRNA from 1 species